GGAGGAAAGUAGGGGAUCGCAAGACCUUGCGCUUUUGGAGUGGCCGAUGCCUGAUUAGCUAGUUGGUGGGGUAAGAGCCUACCAAGGCGACGAUCAGUAGUUGGUCUGAGAGGACGACCAGCCACACUGGGACUGAGACACGGCCCAGACUCCUACGGGAGGCAGCAGUGGGGAAUUUUGGACAAUGGGCGAAAGCCUGAUCCAGCAAUGCCGCGUGAGUGAAGAAGGCCUUCGGGUUGUAAAGCUCUUUCAGUCGAGAAGAAAAGGUUGCGACUAAUAAUCGCAACUUAUGACGGUAUCGACAGAAGAAGCGCCGGCUAACUACGUGCCAGCAGCCGCGGUAAUACGUAGGGUGCGAGCGUUAAUCGGAAUUACUGGGCGUAAAGGGUGCGCAGGCGGCUCUGUAAGUCAGAUGUGAAAUCCCCGGGCUUAACCUGGGAAUUGCGUUUGAAACUACAAAGCUAGA
rnacentral:rRNA from 1 species